rnacentral:pre_miRNA from 1 species
CUUGGGGGGUGGGAAGUCUCUCAGCCAGGUUUGUGAGAGGGUGCAGGCCAGGCUGAGGGACCUCACUGGUGCACA